rnacentral:rRNA from 1 species
UACAGAGGGUGCAAGCGUUAAUCGGAAUUAUUGGGCGUAAAGGGUGCGUAGGUGGUUUGAUAAGUUAGGUGUGAAAGUCCUGGGCUUAACCUGGGGAUUGCGCCUAAUACUGUUAGGCUAGAGUACUGUAGAGGAAGGUGGAAUUUCCGGUGUAGCGGUGAAAUGCGUAGAUAUCGGAAGGAACAUCAGUGGCGAAGGCGACCUUCUGGACAGAUACUGACACUGAGGCACGAAAGCGUGGGGAGCAAACAGG